rnacentral:misc_RNA from 1 species
AGGAAGGGGUUUGCCACAUAUUUGUGUACAAUUUGGAAUUGGGUCCAAACAACUCUUUCUUUCCUCCUGUAAACUCAUUUUCCCACAAAAGCACGAAUUCACCCUGCCUGGCAUCAAGUCACAAUGCCCACAAGGCCCUGGAUGGCAAGUUUCGCCACACUCAUGAUUUCCACAACCCAACAGCUUUCUGCAUGUCGAGUUACAAGAAAAAACACCAUCUUCAGCU